rnacentral:rRNA from 1 species
UUUGGACAAUGGGGGCAACCCUGAUCCAGCGAUCCCGCGUGUGCGAUGAAGGCCUUCGGGUUGUAAAGCACUUUUGGCAGGGAAGAAAAGGCUCUGGCUAAUACCUGGAGCUGCUGACGGUACGUGCAGAAUAAGUACCGGCGAACUACGUGCCAGCAGCCGCGGUAAUACGUAGGGGGCAAGCGUUAAGCGGAAUUACUGGGCGUAAAGCGUGCGCAGGCGGUUCGGCAAGAAGGAUGAGAAAUCCCAGGGCUUAAACUUGGAACUGCAUUCUUAACUGCCGGGCUAGAGUAUGUCAGAGGGGGGUAGAAUUCCGCGUGUAGCAGUGAAAUGCGUAGAGAUGCGAAGGAAUACCGAUGGCGAAGGCAGCCCCCUGGGAUAAUACUGACGCUCAUGCACGAAAGCGUGGGGAGCAAAC